rnacentral:lncRNA from 1 species
GCUCGGCCGCAGGGCUCGGGCGUGCGCGAUCCUCCGCCUCUGCGCGCCGCGCUCCGGAGCUGCGCCGCCGCUCAGCACCGAGGCGGCCUCCGCACGACCGACCCCGAGGCUUCGGGACCGACCCUGAGGCUUCGAGUGGAUGUUUGUGCCCGCGCUCGCUCCCCGACCGCUGUGGGGGCCGCGGGGCCGCGUCCACGCUGACAGGUCUCACCCCCUCAGGGCCCGCGGCGGGAGGAGAAGAAUAUAUUUGGAGAAAACUGUUGCUCCAUGAAUAUAUAUCUGUCAAGGCGUCAUUAUGUCCUGUGUCAUGCUUCCCUGAGCUGGCCAGAGCACUCAUGUCCCAUAUUUGAAACUCAGCUUCAGACUUUACGUGAAAAAUCACUGUUCCUGGUUCACAACUUCAACAACACAGAAGGGCGGCUGUUGUUCAUUCUGGAGCUUCCCUGCAGAACCAAGCAUGUGUAUAUAUUUUCUGGCACAAAUGGGCUCAUUCUAGAAGGAUGCUUGGAAGGUCUGAGAAGCACUGUCCACUCUGUUGGAACAGAAGCAGGCGUGCUGGCCUUAGGUCAGAGGUGCCUUCUUAUCCCCACCUGACAACAAUUCUUUGAUCUGCCUCCACGAGACCCGAAGUUUUGAACCACAGCAUCUGAGUCACACAGCCCAUCACAGGACAUCAGUGUUCCAAGAAAGCAACAGGUACAUCGGGCGCAGUGUCACUUAUGUGUCGGGGCUGGAGGUAAAGCUUCUUUUUAACCCAAAAUCUCCUGGGCUUUUCUCUUUUCUCUAGUUGAGCCAUGAAGUAAAACCGAAGUAGCUGUCAGCAUGGUGGAUUCGGUGCAACAGCUCCUUAGUGUCCCCGCAGGUAGCACAUCACAGGGAAUACCAUUUGCUCUGCUCAUUUACUACUUACCAAAUGUAAUCUGAAACCCCUGUUUCCUAGGAAAUCACUUGUAUCA